GUGGGGAAUCUUCCGCAAUGGACGAAAGUCUGACGGAGCAACGCCGCGUGAGUGAAGAAGGUUUUCGGAUCGUAAAGCUCUUUCGUUAGGGACGAACGUGCUCUUUGUGAAUAAUGAGGAGUAAUGACGGUACCUAAAUAAGAAGCCACGGCUAACUACGUGCCAGCAGCCGCGGUAAUACGUAGGUGGCAAGCGUUGUCCGGAAUUAUUGGGCGUAAAGCGCGCGCAGGCGGGAUAUCAAGUCUGUCUUAAAAGUGCGAGGCUCAACCUCGUGAGGGGACAGAAACUGGUAUUCUUGAGUGUCGGAGAGGAAAGUGGAAUUCCAAGUGUAGCGGUGAAAUGCGUAGAGAUUUGGAAGAACACCAGUGGCGAAGGCGACUUUCUGUACGAUGUCUGACGCUGAGGCGCGAAAGCUAGGGGAGCGAACGGGAUUAGAUACCCGGGUAGUCC
rnacentral:rRNA from 1 species